rnacentral:rRNA from 1 species
GAUGAACGCUGGCGGCGUGCCUAAUACAUGCAAGUCGAGCGAACGGACGAGAAGCUUGCUUCUCUGAUGUUAGCGGCGGACGGGUGAGUAACACGUGGAUAACCUACCUAUAAGACUGGGAUAACUUCGGGAAACCGGAGCUAAUACCGGAUAAUAUGUUGAACCGCAUGGUUCAAAAGUGAAAGACGGUCUGGCUGUCACUUAUAGAUGGAUCCGCGCUGCAUUAGCUAGUUGGUAAGGUAACGGCUUACCAAGGCAACGAUGCAUAGCCGACCUGAGAGGGUGAUCGGCCACACUGGAACUGAGACACGGUCCAGACUCCUACGGGAGGCAGCAGUAGGGAAUCUUCCGCAAUGGGCGCAAGCCUGACCGAGCAACGCCGCGUGAGUGAUGAAGGUCUUCGGAUCGUAAAGCUCUGUUAUUAGGGAAGAACAUAUGUGUAAGUAACUGUGCACGUCCUGACGGUACCUAAUCAGAAAGCCCCGGCUAACUACGUG